AGGGGGGCCUGGUACCGAAGGUGAAUGUCACUCUGUAUCUGUUCAAUUGUAUACUCUGUAUACUGAUAAUUUUGGCAUUAAAUCUUGAUUUUAUACUUAACCAUUUAUCAUUAUUUCACAAGGUAAAUACUUUGCUGGUUUUACUGGUUGGGUCUCGGAACUGUAGAGAAAAGGACCUGGUGGUGCACAGGGAAGAAAGAGAGUAAAAACUCCCAUUUUACAACAGUGGGGGCUCGUCCGAGUGUCCAUGUUCCAAACAAGACCCACCCUGCAAGGAGGACCCCAGACAGCGGCAGCGGUAGGACCGAGCCUUCAGUACAGACUGCGGUCAUCUCAGACCUUGCCUGAUGGAUUUUUAAGGCUCCUAGUCUGUUUUCUGAGCGAGCUUCAAGGUUUCGUUCCUCUUCUCCCACCAUGAGUCUCCCUGCCUUCUCAUCUUCUGACCCUGGCUUGGGUGAGGUUUUUUUUCUGGAGAACCUUACUUCUGUUGUCACCUGCCUGUCCACCCUCCUACGUGGGAAUGCUUAAACUGAGUCAUCACUUGAGAGCUAAAGGAAAGAAAGGAAACUGCCGCCUACCACACUCAUCCUGCCAACCUCCAUCUCAGAGGAAAGACUUACCUCCCCGGCUAAACCACAACCGCUCUGGCUAGAAGAACCAGUCUCAUGCUGUCAUUGCUUGGGUCCCUGUCUCGCCUUGUUCCUUUUUCUUCACAAAAUAAAUCUGUUAAAACGCUG